UACGUAGGGUGCAAGCGUUGUUCGGAGUUACUGGGCGUAAAGGGUGUGUAGGCGGUUGUUUAAGUUUGGUGUGAAAUCGCCCGGCUCAACUGGGCGGGGUCGGCGGAUACGGCGUGGCUGGAGCAAGCUAGGGGGCAAUGGAAUUCCCGGUGUAGUGGUGGAAUGCGUAGAUAUCGGGAGGAACACCAGUGGCGAAGGCGGUUGCCUGGAGCUUUGCUGACGCUGAGGCGCGAAAGCGUGGGGAGCGAUCCGG
rnacentral:rRNA from 1 species